rnacentral:lncRNA from 1 species
GUGGACUUGGUGGCUUGUAAGGCGGUGCUGGAGUUGUUGGUGGCUUAACUGGAGGUGUAGGAACUGGGGGCUUAUAUGGGGGAGUUGGUGCUUUAGUUGGCGGUGCUGGUGCUGGAGUUGGUGCUUUGGUUGGGGGUGUUGGGGGCUUAUAUGGGGGAGUAGGGGCCUUGACUGGAGGUGCCGGUGCGGGAGUAGGGGGUUUAUAUGGGGGAGUAGGAGCCUUGGUUGGUGGUGCUGGUGCUGGGGGCUUAAAUGGUGGAGUUGGAGCCUUGGUUGGUGGUGCAGGAGCUGGGGGCUUAUAUGGUGGAGUAGGAGCCUUGGUUGGUGGUGCAGGAGCUGGGGGCUUAUAUGGUGGAGUAGGAGCCUUGGUUGGUGGUGCAGGAGCUGGGGGUUUAUAUGGGGGAGUAGGAGCCUUGGUUGGUGGUUUAUAUGGUGGAGUGGGGGCCUUGGUAGGGGGUUU